CCUACGGGAGGCAGCAGUGGGGAAUCUUGCACAAUGGAGGAAACUCUGAUGCAGCGAUGCCGCGUGAGUGAAGAAGGCCUUUGGGUUGUAAAGCUCUUUCGUCGGGGAAGAAAAUGACUGUACCCGAAUAAGAAGGUCCGGCUAACUUCGUGCCAGCAGCCGCGGUAAUACGAAGGGACCUAGCGUAGUUCGGAAUUACUGGGCUUAAAGAGUUCGUAGGUGGUUGAAAAAGUUGGUGGUGAAAUCCCAGAGCUUAACUCUGGAACUGCCAUCAAAACUUUUCAGCUAGAGUAUGAUAGAGGAAAGCAGAAUUUCUAGUGUAGAGGUGAAAUUCGUAGAUAUUAGAAAGAAUACCAAUUGCGAAGGCAGCUUUCUGGAUCAUUACUGACACUGAGGAACGAAAGCAUGGGUAGCGAAGAGGAUUAGAUACCCUCGUAGUCCAUGCCGUAAACGAUGUGUGUUAGACGUUGGAAAUUUAUUUUCAGUGUCGCAGGGAAACCGAUAAACACACCGCCUGGGGAGUACGACCGCAAGGUUAAAACUCAAAGGAAUUGACGGGGGBU
rnacentral:rRNA from 1 species